rnacentral:rRNA from 1 species
GACGAACGCUGGCGGCGUGCUUAACACAUGCAAGUCGAACGAAGUGGCGAACGGGUGAGUAACGCGUAAUCAACCUGCCCUUCAGAGGGGGACAACAGUUGGAAACGACUGCUAAUACCGCAUACUGAAGGAGGGGAUUGCGUGUGCUUAGCUAGUUGGAGGGGUAACGGCCGACCAAGGCGAUGAUCAGUAGCCGGUCGGAGAGGAUGAAAGGCGACACUGGGACUGAGACACGGACCAGACUCCUACGGGAGGAAGCAGUAGGGAAUCGUCGGCAAUGGACGAAAGUCUGACAGAGCAACGCAGCGUGAGUGAAGAAGGUUUUCGGAUCGGAAAACUCUGUUGUUAGAGAAGCGGUAUCUAACCAGAAAGCCACGGCUAACUACGUGCCAGCAGCCGCGGUAAUAC